rnacentral:rRNA from 1 species
GACGAACGCUGGCGGCGUGCCUAAUACAUGCAAGUUGAGCGCUGAAGGUUGGUACUUGUACCAACUGGAUGAGCAGCGAACGGGUGAGUAGCGCGUGGGGAAUCUGCCUUUGAGCGGGGGACAAUAUUUGGAAACGAAUGCUAAUACCGCAUAAAAACUUUAAACACAAGUUUUAAGUUUGAAAGAUGCAAUUGCAUCACUCAAAGAUGAUCCCGCGUUGUAUUAGCUAGUUGGUGAGGUAAAGGCUCACCAAGGCGAUGAUACAUAGCCGACCUGAGAGGGUGAUCGGCCACAUUGGGACUGAGACACGGCCCAAACUCCUACGGGAGGCAGCAGUAGGGAAUCUUCGGCAAUGGACGAAAGUCUGACCGAGCAACGCCGCGUGAGUGAAGAAGGUUUUCGGAUCGUAAAACUCUGUUGGUAGAGAAGAACGUUGGUGAGAGUGGAAAGCUCAUCAAGUGACGGUAACUACCCAGAAAGGGACGGCUAACUACGUG